AUUGAACGCUGGCGGCAGGCCUAACACAUGCAAGUCGAGCGGAUGAAGGGAGCUUGCUCCUGGAUUCAGCGGCGGACGGGUGGGUAAUGCCUAGGAAUCUGCCUGGUAGUGGGGGAUAACGUCCGGAAACGGGCGCUAAUACCGCAUACGUCCUGAGGGAGAAAGUGGGGGAUCUUCGGACCUCACGCUAUCAGAUGAGCCUAGGUCGGAUUAGCUAGUUGGUGGGGUAAAGGCCUACCAAGGCGACGAUCCGUAACUGGUCUGAGAGGAUGAUCAGUCACACUGGAACUGAGACCCGGUCCAGACUCCUACGGGAGGCAGCAGUGGGGAAUAUUGGACAAUGGGCGAAAGCCUGAUCCAGCCAUGCCGCGUGUGUGAAGAAGGUCUUCGGAUUGUAAAGCACUUUAAGUUGGGAGGAAGGGCAGUAAGUUAAUACCUUGCUGUUUUGACGUUACCAACAGAAUAAGCACCGGCUAACUUCGUG
rnacentral:rRNA from 1 species